UUAAGCGACUAAGCGUACACGGUGGAUGCCCUGGCAGUCAGAGGCGAUGAAGGACGUGCUAAUCUGCGAAAAGCGCCGGCGAGGUGAUAUGAACCCUUGACCCGGCGAUGUCCGAAUGGGGAAACCCAGUGUGAUUCGUCACACUAUCGUUAACUGAAUACAUAGGUUAACGAGGCGAACCGGGGGAACUGAAACAUCUAAGUACCCCGAGGAAAAGAAAUCAACCGAGAUUCCCCCAGUAGCGGCGAGCGAACGGGGAGCAGCCCGGAGUCUGAAUCAGCUUGUGUGUUAGUGGAACGGUCUGGAAAGUCCGACGGUACAGGGUGAUAGUCCCGUACACGAAAGCACACAUGCUGUGAACUCGAAGAGUAGGGCGGGACACGUGGUAUCCUGUCUGAAUAUGGGGGGACCAUCCUCCAAGGCUAAAUACUCCUGACUGACCGAUAGUGAACCAGUACCGUGAGGGAAAGGCGAAAAGAACCCCGGCGAGGGGAGUGAAAAAGAACCUGAAACCGUGUACGUACAAGCAGUGGGAGCCUCUUUAUGGGGUGACUGCGUACCUUUUGUAUAAUGGGUCAGCGACUUAUAUUCUGUAGCAAGGUUAACCGUAUAGGGGAGCCGAAGGGAAACCGAGUCUUAACUGGGCGUUAAGUUGCAGGGUAUAGACCCGAAACCCGGUGAUCUAGCCAUGGGCAGGUUGAAGGUUGGGUAACACUAACUGGAGGACCGAACCGACUAAUGUUGAAAAAUUAGCGGAUGACCUGUGGCUGGGGGUGAAAGGCCAAUCAAACCGGGAGAUAGCUGGUUCUCCCCGAAAGCUAUUUAGGUAGCGCCUCGUGAACUCAUCUUCGGGGGUAGAGCACUGUUUCGGCUAGGGGGCCAUCCCGGCUUACCAACCCGAUGCAAACUACGAAUACCGAAGAAUGUUAUCACGGGAGACACACGGCGGGUGCUAACGUCCGUCGUGAAGAGGGAAACAACCCAGACCGCCAGCUAAGGUCCCAAAGUCAUGGUUAAGUGGGAAACGAUGUGGGAAGGCACAGACAGCCAGGAUGUUGGCUUAGAAGCAGCCAUCAUUUAAAGAAAGCGUAAUAGCUCACUGGUCGAGUCGGCCUGCGCGGAAGAUGUAACGGGGCUAAACCAUGCACCGAAGCUGCGGCAGCGACACUAUGUGUUGUUGGGUAGGGGAGCGUUCUGUAAGCCGUUGAAGGUGUGCUGUGAGGCAUGCUGGAGGUAUCAGAAGUGCGAAUGCUGACAUAAGUAACGAUAAAGCGGGUGAAAAGCCCGCUCGCCGGAAGACCAAGGGUUCCUGUCCAACGUUAAUCGGGGCAGGGUGAGUCGACCCCUAAGGCGAGGCCGAAAGGCGUAGUCGAUGGGAAACAGGUUAAUAUUCCUGUACUUGGUGUUACUGCGAAGGGGGGACGGAGAAGGCUAUGUCAGCCGGGCGACGGUUGUCCCGGUUUAAGCAUGUAGGCGGAGGUUCCAGGUAAAUCCGGUACCUUAUUAACGCUGAGGUGUGAUGACGAGGCACUACGGUGCUGAAGUGAUAAAUGCCCUGCUUCCAGGAAAAGCCUCUAAGCAUCAGGUAACACGAAAUCGUACCCCAAACCGACACAGGUGGUCAGGUAGAGAAUACCAAGGCGCUUGAGAGAACUCGGGUGAAGGAACUAGGCAAAAUGGUGCCGUAACUUCGGGAGAAGGCACGCUGAUGUGUAGGUGAAGCCCCUGCGGGCGGAGCUGAAAUCAGUCGAAGAUACCAGCUGGCUGCAACUGUUUAUUAAAAACACAGCACUGUGCAAACACGAAAGUGGACGUAUACGGUGUGACGCCUGCCCGGUGCCGGAAGGUUAAUUGAUGGGGUUAGCUGUAAGGCGAAGCUCUUGAUCGAAGCCCCGGUAAACGGCGGCCGUAACUAUAACGGUCCUAAGGUAGCGAAAUUCCUUGUCGGGUAAGUUCCGACCUGCACGAAUGGCGUAAUGAUGGCCAGGCUGUCUCCACCCGAGACUCAGUGAAAUUGAACUCGCUGUGAAGAUGCAGUGUACCCGCGGCAAGACGGAAAGACCCCGUGAACCUUUACUAUAGCUUGACACUGAACACUGGUCCUUGAUGUGUAGGAUAGGUGGGAGGCUUUGAAGCGUGGACGCCAGUCUGCGUGGAGCCAACCUUGAAAUACCACCCUUUAAUGGCUGGUGUUCUAACGUGGACCCGUUAUCCGGGUUGCGGACAGUGUCUGGUGGGUAGUUUGACUGGGGCGGUCUCCUCCCAAAGAGUAACGGAGGAGCACGAAGGUUGGCUAAUCCUGGUCGGACAUCAGGAGGUUAGUGCAAUGGCAUAAGCCAGCUUGACUGCGAGCGUGACGGCGCGAGCAGGUGCGAAAGCAGGUCAUAGUGAUCCGGUGGUUCUGAAUGGAAGGGCCAUCGCUCAACGGAUAAAAGGUACUCCGGGGAUAACAGGCUGAUACCGCCCAAGAGUUCAUAUCGACGGCGGUGUUUGGCACCUCGAUGUCGGCUCAUCACAUCCUGGGGCUGAAGUAGGUCCCAAGGGUAUGGCUGUUCGCCAUUUAAAGUGGUACGCGAGCUGGGUUUAGAACGUCGUGAGACAGUUCGGUCCCUAUCUGCCGUGGGCGCUGGAGAAUUGAGGGGGGCUGCUCCUAGUACGAGAGGACCGGAGUGGACGCAUCACUGGUGUUCGGGUUGUCAUGCCAAUGGCACUGCCCGGUAGCUAAAUGCGGAAGAGAUAAGUGCUGAAAGCAUCUAAGCACGAAACUUGCCCCGAGAUGAGUUCUCCCUGAGAC
rnacentral:rRNA from 2 species